UACUCCCUGCGGUGCUCGUGAUUGGUUAAAAGGUCUUGAGCCAACACCUAAGAAAAGGGAGCCGGAUUCUGAUGCCGAAUGCCUUCUACUUCGGUAGAAAGGCAGGACGCAUCUUUAAGGCACCCACCUGUUUUAUUAGGUUCAGAGACCGAUACCAACACGACACCGGCGGGGAGUUU
rnacentral:other from 1 species